rnacentral:rRNA from 1 species
UAGGGAAUCUUCGGCAAUGGACGAAAGUCUGACCGAGCAACGCCGCGUGAGUGAAGAAGGUUUUCGGAUCGUAAAACUCUGUUGUUAGAGAAGAACAAGGACGUUAGUAACUGAACGUCCCCUGACGGUAUCUAACCAGAAAGCCACGGCUAACUACGUGCCAGCAGCCGCGGUAAUACGUAGGUGGCAAGCGUUGUCCGGAUUUAUUGGGCGUAAAGCGAGCGCAGGCGGUUUCUUAAGUCUGAUGUGAAAGCCCCCGGCUCAACCGGGGAGGGUCGUUGGAAACUGGGAGACUUGAGUGCAGAAGAGGAGAGUGGAAUUCCAUGUGUAGCGGUGAAAUGCAUAGAUAUAUGGAGGAACACCAGUGGCGAAGGCGGCUCUCUGGUCUGUAACUGACGCUGGGGCUCGAAAGCGUGGGGAGCAAACAG